rnacentral:rRNA from 1 species
GAACCGUACAAACGUUAUUCGGGAAUCACUGGGGCUUAAAGGGUGCGUAGGCGGUCUGGUAAGUUGGGGGGUGUGAAAUCCCCUCGGGCUCAACCGAGGGAAUUGCGCUCAAAACUGCCAGGCUUGAGGGAGACAGAGGCAAGCGGAACUCAGGGUGGAGCGGUGAAAUGCGUUGAUAUCCUGGGGAACACCAGUUGCGAAGGCGGCUUGCUGGGUCUCUUCUGACGCUGAGGCACGAAAGCUAGGGGAGCGAACGGGAUUAGAUACCCCGGUAGUCCUAGCUGUAAACGUUGAGCACUUGGUUGGAGGCUCCUCCAUAGGCUUCCUGCCGUAGCGAAAGUGUUAAGUGCUCCGCCUGGGGAGUAUGGUCGCAAAGGCUG